UACGUAGGUGGCAAGCGUUGUCCGGAUUUACUGGGCGUAAAGAGCGCGCAGGCGGUCGAUCAAGUCGCGUGUGAAAGCCCCCGGCUCAACUGGGGAGGGUCACGCGAUACUGAUCGACUCGAAGGCAGGAGAGGGUAGUGGAAUUCCCGGUGUAGUGGUGAAAAUGCGCAGAUAUCAGGAGGAACACCGAUAGCGAAGGCAGCUCGCUGGGACGGUACUGACGCUAAGGCGCGAAAGCGUGGGGAGCAACAGGG
rnacentral:rRNA from 1 species